CCUAUUGAGUGUUAUAUCAAAUGAUAGUAGAAGUAAAGUUAUACUUUGAGGUCAGACACAUUGAUGUAGGAA
rnacentral:sRNA from 12 species